UGGGAUGUAGCUCAGUGGCAGAGCAAGUACUUAGCAUGCACAAAACCCUGGGUUCAAUCCCCAGCCCCCAG
rnacentral:tRNA from 1 species